rnacentral:ncRNA from 2 species
UAUUCAUCCGGUAAUCAUGGUGUCUGUUAUAGACUUAAUAGGGAAUCUGGUGAGAAUCCAGAGCUGUACCCGCAACUGUAUGUGCUGACGAAAUAAGCAAAACCACUGUCUAAAGAUGGGAAGGGCUUAGAGUAGAGUAAAGCCUGAGUCAGGAGACCUGCCAUGUUUAUAGUGUUGAU